AGUGAACGCUGGCGGUAGGCCUAACACAUGCAAGUCGAACGGCAGCACAGUAAGAGCUUGCUCUUACGGGUGGCGAGUGGCGGACGGGUGAGGAAUACAUCGGAAUCUACUUUUUCGUGGGGGAUAACGUAGGGAAACUUACGCUAAUACCGCAUACGACCUACGGGUGAAAGCAGGGGAACUUCGGACCUUGCGCGAUUGAAUGAGCCGAUGUCGGAUUAGCUAGUUGGCGGGGUAAAGGCCCACCAAGGCGGCGAUCCGUAGCUGGUCUGAGAGGAUGAUCAGCCGCACUGGAACGGGGACACGGACCAGGCUCCUACGGGAGGCAGCAGUGGGGAAUAUUGGACAAUGGGCGCAAGCCUGAUCCAGCCAUACCGCGUGGGUGAAGAAGGCCUUCGGGUUGUAAAGCCCUUUUGUUGGGAAAGAAAAGCAGCAGGUUAAUACCCCGCUGUUCUGACGGUACCCAAAGAAUAAGCACCGGCUAACUUCGUG
rnacentral:rRNA from 1 species